rnacentral:rRNA from 1 species
UACGAAGGGUGCAAACGUUGCUCGGAAUUAUUGGGCGUAAAGCGCACGUAGGCGGCUUUGUAAGUCGGAUGUGAAAUCCCUCGGCUUAACCAAGGAAGUGCAUCCGAAACUACAGAGCUUGAGUACUUAAGAGGAUCACGGAAUUCCCGGUGUAGAGGUGAAAUUCGUAGAUAUCGGGAGGAACACCAGUGGCGAAGGCGGCGAUCUGGGAAGAUACUGACGCUGAGGUGCGAAAGCGUGGGGAGCAAACAGG